AUAUAUAUAGUAUAAUAUAUAUGCUAUAUAUAUAUAGUAUAUAUAGUAGAAUAUAUGUAAUGUUAUAUAUAUAUACACACACAUAUAUAUAUUUUAUGUAUAUAU
rnacentral:miRNA from 12 species